AAGCAAAUAGUAAUAAGUGGGUCCAUAUAGCCAACCCCAACUAACUAUGGAUUGAUACUAAGUUGAGUUGAAGCAAUAGAAUCAUUAAUUUAUUUUAAAUUAGCAAAUAAUUUGUAUAUGUAAAUAGUUUCCAUUAAAAGCAUCAUCAAAAUGAGAAAUUCAAAAGAAUUUCAUCGGCAUAACCUUAACAUUUAAUUAGAGAUGAUAUUAAGUAACAAAACCAUCUUAGAAGUUACUGACUCCGCCAUUCAAUUUAAGCUCUGAUUUUCAUUUGCUCUUCGUUACAAGGGAAUAAUUUUGAAAGAGUCAUAGUUAGUUGUGAUCACAACCACCAUAUAUUAACUAUGUUUCUCAAUCCUAAUUACCAUGACCAUGAACAUGUAUACCA
rnacentral:misc_RNA from 1 species